rnacentral:miRNA from 1 species
AAGCAAAUACGUCACGCUCCC